rnacentral:rRNA from 1 species
CGGCGGACGGGUGAGUAACACGUGAGUAACCUGCCUUAGACAUAGGGAUAGCCUCGGGAAACCGGGAUUAAUACCAAAUGAAAUCACAUAUGCACAUGCAUAAAUGAUCAAAGCUCCGGCGGUCUAAGAUGGACUCGCGUCCCAUUAGCUAGUUGGUGAGGUAACGGCCCACCAAGGCGACGAUGGGUAGCCGGCCUGAGAGGGUGAACGGCCACAUUGGAACUGAGAAACGGUCCAAACUCCUACGGGAGGCAGCAGCU